AGACCAUAUCUGGAAUGUGCCUGCUGGGGCUUGGACACGGAGUCUGUUCCAGGACUUUUGCUCCAUGAUGAUGUGGAAGGUGACUCUUCAGUUGGCCAGCUCCAAGUUUCCCUUUAUUCCAACUUGGAACCAUGGUGGAGAAGAGACACUGAACAUGAGGCAGGAGGCACAUGGAGCCACAUCCCCAGUGCCACCAUGAAUCCAUGUCCCAAGACGUUCCUGUCAUCUGUCACCUCAACCCAUCCAUCCACCAGCCUGCAAAGAGAAAUGUCAGGGAGUGCUGGGGAAGGCGACACCCAUGGAGGAGCCUCUGGUUUGGGAAAAGGGGAGCUGGGAAUGCUGCCCUCCUCCCUGCUUGUUUACCCUAUGGCAAGUGCAUCUUUGGGGAGCGCUGUGACUCCGAGAUAUGAGAAGAAAUUCUUCAGUAAACACAAAUGACAUUUGGCAUAUAAAUAAGUUAGGGAAUACUCCUGCACAAGCAGUGCAGGUCAACAGUGAUCUUUUAUCUCCUGGAGUAGAGUCGGCUCCUUUGGAAAUGGAAAAAAGUGCAAAGUGUUUGUGGAAGUGGUGGUGGAAAGGAGAAUCCUGGUCCUGGUCCAGAAGCGGGAAAAGCUGAACUUUUUUUCCCGAGUGCUGGACGCAGCCCCCAUAAAUAUGGAGCAUUUGUUGUGGCCGCCUCACGGAUGCCCAG